GACUUCCUGGACUAUCGACUGAGAGAGUUGUGAGCGCAGUGGCAAAAAUAACAGCUGACACCAAGGGUAUUUUAGCACUUAUAACACUGAAUGCUGAGGUAUGUUGCUUUUUUGGUUUUAUACAAAAAUAGAUACUGUCAGCAAGUAAAAAAAUGUCAUCAGUGAACACAGGUCUGAAUUGAUUCACUCUUUUACCUGAUAAGUGAUGAACAUUAUACUCACAAGCUACUUGCAAAUGUCAUUCUUUGUGGUUAGUGGCAAAGCCGCAUCAAUUAAUCUUUCAAAUGCUUUACUUUUACUUUGUAAACUAACUUUUAACAUGGAUGUGAAAAUGAAAAAUGGAUAUAAAAACCUUCACCUCAGUUCAGUUUUCCCUGAUGCUGUCAUUUUUGCAUUCCCUGAAUUCACUGCCAGAAUCCAGCACUCUGGCAUUAGACAGUGCAAAUGACUGGAUUCUAAAAACCAGGUCUUGUAGGUCAAAAUAGUCCUAUAAAGAGCUCCUUAGGUGUCAGAAGAAUUGGUUCUUGCUGAAUCAAUUGAUCUGGUUUGCUAAAAACAGUCUAAAUUCCCAUCAUGGAGAUCUAUGCCUGAGGUUGUUAAGCUAACAAAGAAGGAUCUAAACCCUGCUCUUCCAUGGUAAGAUGGAUCACAGACAAACUGGGGGGGGGGGCAUGCUGCUUUUUAAUGAUUUGGAGUAAUCUGUGAAUCUUUAUGGAUAAAAUGUGUUUGGAUUAAACCUUUUACUGGAUUUGGGUUGCUGGGACCCUUUCUGCUGCAGCAGGUGGUGGGUGGGCUGUUGGACUUUCAACAGCUCUUAUCAUCAAUGUUAACCUCCAUUAAUCCUAAAUAGAAUUUAUGGAUUAUUAAGUGUUAACCAAGUUAAUGACUUUAUCAAUGAAUGGUUAAUGGUUAACAGAGUUAAAAUUUGGAUUAGCUGUGUCCACCUCUGAUUAACAAGUUGUAUGAGCUGCCUGCCAUAUUAGACAUCCGAAAACAACAUUUGGAGAAUGUUUGUGAAAUAAAACUAAAACCUUUAAUUGGAAAGUUCAGCAGUUUGUGCUCACUUAAAUCUUAAUAUGGCUGAUCAUUUUCUGUUGGGAUUACAGAGAGCGAUUUCUUUCUCUGUGCCACUCAUAUCUAAAUGUUAAUGCUCAAAUAAUGAGUAUAUCAGAUUGUCAUUUAAUUAACAAUGUAUGGGUCACAGACUUUGUCCUCUCUUGAGUACAAAGUGCUUUCUGACAAGUAUCACUGGCCAUCUGAUUGGCUGGAGUGCUUAUAUGGAUUUAUUCCACGGCCACCAUGUUUGUUUUCAACGCAGCCGUGUCCGGGCGAGCAUCAUGUUCCUUGUUUUCUGAGAAAGGUUUGUUGGCUGACAACAGGAGGAGGAGGAGGAGGAGGAAAAGGAGGCUAAGGCCCAAGCAAGUCUCCAUGUCCCACCACAUCCUCAGGUUACUCACCAGCCUCAUCCAUUAUUGCUGACCCUCAUCCAUUAUGGAUGAGCAGGUACAAUGCCACAUGGCUCCGGAACCGACGGUCCUGAUGCUCUCCCCUUGCACCGCUAACACCACUGCCAUUUCUGCUGCUGCUGCCCUGCCGGAAACCUUCACCACCCUGGAGCUCCUUUAUCAUCUCUUUUCGCUGUGACCUACAUAAACAGAGAGCAGGGACAGGCUUGCAGGGAGAGAGCGGAACUUAAAGUUUGAAAUGAUGCAGAGCAGAGAUUCAACAGGAGGAUGAUAAGACAAACAAAAUAUGUGAUAAUAAAGAUAAAAAACUGGAAAAACAAGCCUUUAAAUUUAUCUUAUCUCCAUUGUUGGACCUAUCACUUGAUCUUUUCCAUUUCACAUUUGCAGACCAGAGUUUAUACCUUGAGCAAACAGCCCAUCCAUAAUGAUAGCAAUUAGCAUCCACUAAAACUGGCAGGGUGCCGGCUUGUAGCAACAUUAAGUUCCAGAUAAUAACACUAAUGAUGACUUGCAGCCUCCGACCAGAGUCUCCUCUCUGUCCUUUUUCCCUUUUAUAGCUCGGAGUUCCUCGAUGCUUCUGCUCUGGGGAAUGUUUUUAGUCACAGCUUCCCUGCAUUUGACAUUCAAGAGGUACUUGUUUGACAUUGGGAAGUAAACUGGAAAGAACCCAUGUUUCGUUCCAGCCUGGAGCGCAUCAACGGUCCUGCUAGCAUUUGCCAACUAGACCUUGAAAACAGCUGGACUUGCUGUUAUUGAGCAGAGCUGGAAAUACUAUAACACAUUUGCAGACUACUUCUCAAAAAAAGCGGAUAUUUUUGUCACCAAACUUGCCAAAGACUGUCCUUACAACUACACUCCGUGCUCAUUAACAGCUAUGUGUCCUGCCAGCAUGUCCUCGAGCUAGAUCCUGGAAGUCACAGAGAACAAGCUUGUCAGAUAGAUGUCUAAAACAUACAUGUACAACAUCUUAUCCAAGUGCUGGCCCACAGCAAGAAUUCUGCUCAGUCUUUUCUUUUUAUUUUUGGGCGGGGGUAUAGCUUCAGAGUUAACUCAGAGUUGCCAUUACUUAUUUGGACUCUGUUCUAAUGGAGAGGCUGACUCUUCUGGGUGUUUUUGAAACUGGGCUAUUGGAGCCAAAAGUAGGGUAGCCUUCAACUAGGCUACAAGCAGAGCACUCCCUCUAACUGGAAUACGUGUUGUCUGGUCAGUCUAAUGAGGCUAAGGCCUGUUUCUGAAAGAGAAAGGGGGAGUCUUGCAAUCAGCAUAUGGACAUAUGGAAAAUAUGACAAUUAGAAUCCAAGAUAAGGGUACUGAUAACAAUGAGAUCUUAGUCUUGAAGAGUUCGUUACAAAAAAGAGAAAUCAUCCUCGGCUCUUCAAAAUGUCACGCCUUUUAUUAAUGUAAUUUUCACUCAUCUUUAUCUGCAAUCCUGAACGUGUGAGAGUGGGCCCGUCAUCCGCUGCAGCAGUAUUACUCAGUUCAGCUCACAGGACACUUCCCCGAGCUGGAGAAACAAAGGCCAGUCUGUUUCUAUGGUUUCUCACUUACUGGAGAUCUGAGUGGAAUUUUACAUAGACAAGGCUAAUGGAUCAACUGCGCCAGUCGACACUGAAGGAAUACCAAGAAGAGGUAUCAUAAUGGAGAGUGUGACUUCCACUGUGUCAUUGUGGCGCUCAUAAGUGAAAUGAAGUACACUUGUUACAUCAUAGGUGUCACAGGAGGAAAAAAAGACUUCCAAGAAUACGCUUUGAGCCCAAGGUCCUCCUCCCCGAGUCGAGAAUACAAACCCAAACCUCCCGACAAUUCAUAACAGGAAGCCCACCUAAAGAGCUUUGACAAACAUGUCCUCCUCGCUCCAGAUGCCCGAUGCUUUAUACAAAGGGAAGGGUUUUUUUCUACAGACAGAGCAUUGGAAAACUCCUGCCUUGCCCUUCACAUGACACACCAACAGGGAGGAAAGUUUCCAUUAACUGUCGGGCAGCAGCUGAAGGUUGUGACUUUGUAAGAGAGGGAGGGCUGAAGGACAAGAGAGAAGGGGAUUCACAGCUUUACUUCAGAGCUAGAUAAUACACACUGAAUAUGUUUAAGUUGUGCAGGAGCUGAAAGUCAGUCAGGUGCGCAACCAGGUCACAGUUGGCGAAAAAUACACACUGAGAUGGCACCGAUGUUGCUGGUAUGCAGAGGUACUGGUGAGGCAGAGUUUUCACUCUGCUAAAUCUCUCUGCGAGUCUGGUAAAAGGUUCCCAACCUCAGUGUCCAUAUUGUUAUUUGCAGCUGUUGUGAGCUGCUCCCUCUGAGGAAGGGCUUGCGGAGACAUUACCCACAGCUGCAGCACUCAGUUGAGAGUCUCCACUUUGCACAACACUUUUAGCCGGCGGGAUCCCAUUGAGACAUGCUUUAACCUCAUUACAUCACUGUGGUUGCUGAAAGAGAAAAUGUGUUUGAGGUUAUCCCUAAUAACCAAUGGCUCGAUAUUCAAUUAAUUGGAGUUACCCCUCGUUCACGCUCAGUCAUGCAGUAAAGGAAUAUAUCAAGGGAAAACCCGAACCAACCAGAUCACCACACUCUACAGAGAAGGUCAUGUGUGCCGAGAUAAAUCUUACAAGUAUUAAAUCUACUCUUUGAUACAGAUUUGUUGGCAUCACAUUUUUAUGCCUUAGGGUAAUUGGACAACUGCCUUCUGUUAAGCCUAUCAGCAAGUGCUCUGUUCAUGUGACACCCAAGGAGACCACAUUGACGUCCUGGAUCAUAAUGCAUUGUGUAAGCACCAAUGUGAUCGGUUCAAAGACAAUUUAAUAAACAAAGAUCCUUUUCAAAAGCAGUUCCCCUCUUGAUCUUUGCAGCUAUACUUGUGGUUAACCCUUAUUCUAUAGGACAGAAUAAACCUUCAUUUUGUUCUUUCUGUCUUAAGGUGACACGAUUUUCCUGUCUGGAGUAACACAAUCCAACUCAUGAGUGGCUCUGCCCUGCCUGCUUGUUUCAGCAAAGUGACUGACUUUUCUCCAGACAGACCCGGGAUAAUUGGAACAGUGGAUUGAGGGACUGGCACACACGUACGUACACACACACACACACACACACACACAUGCAAACCCACACAGGUCAUUACAUUUACCACUAAGCAUCUCCAUAAGCCCAAGCAGGCAUAUCUGACAUAUCCAUCUGCUAUGCUGGGAUCAUGCUGGAUCUGCCUCUCUCUCUCACUCUUACUCUCUCUCUCUCUAAAUUGGGGUGAGGGGUGUGCCAGCAGUAAUAAUGCUGAUGAUGGCAUGUAAUCACAGGGGUUGAUCACAGCGAGCUAACCAAGCAGGGCUAUGAUUUUACCCUCUUUUACUUCAUGUCAUAUUGGUCUGGUUUUAAGCAUUACAAUAAAAAAGACAGUUAAAAUCUGAAAAUCCUUUAAUCCUUUAAGAAUGACUCAUUCUUUAUUGAUUGUGCUUUAUUGUUGCCAACAUAUUACAGAUCCUCCUCCCUAUUUUUGUCAGCGUCUGCGUCAUGUAAAGCAUUACUUCAGUCAGGUUUAUAGUUUAAAAGCUUUAAGUGGUUACGUCACAUUGCUUGUGUAAUGGUGAGUUUUCCUUGUUUUUUUUUUUUUUUUACCCAUAAUCAUGUCAUCCAUAUCAUUGCACCACUUACAUUAAGAAAAUUUGUGUUUUGUAUAAGUCAUCUACCCCUUUCAUACUCAUUGUUCCACCUAUGGUCUGCAGCUAGCGGGGUUAGCUGGAGACAGAGGGAAAACAGCAAGCCUAGCAAGUUACUGUAAAUACGGUAAAUAAGAGGCAUUUGUAAUUUGACUAAGAGGUCGGUUUACACCAAAAUACUGUUAUAACAUACAAAGAGGGGUAUUUUGUGGUGUUACAAUACCCUGAAGAUGAUGCUCCAAGGAGCCAGUGACUAGUUUGUAGCACAAAAUACGCCAAGAAAAGACAAGUGGUGUCACUUUUUGAUCUGUUUUUGCAAUUUUCACCCAAAUUAUUCACAAUAAAUUAUACAUCCUACUGUCAAAAAUCAGCAGAAUGAGAUGUUAUGCCGAUAGAUACUACUGUAGAGUGAAGACACAGGGACUGCUUUGUCCACAGGAGGCGCCAGAAUCACAGGAGCAUCAACGAUUAAACAUGAUUGGCUUACUUGUACUGUAUGUCAUCAUCUAUUACUUGAGUUGUGUUUUAUCUGUUCUCAGCCCCAUGACAAAAACAUCUUUGAAGAAGCCUGCCUCAUAAAACCAUCUAUCUUAUGCUUUUAUUUUGACAUUUUUACGAUAAUGAGGUUGCUUUAUUUUCUGUGUUGUAAAUCAUGCUUUUAUUUUGAAAAUUGAAAGCAUAUGCUAUGCCAGAAGAUUAUAAACUAAAAUCAUGAAUGAAAACUCACAAUAUCUUCAUGAAGACUAGUUUCCUUUAGACAGGGCCAGGUUAACCAUUUCCUAUACUGUUCACAUUGACCAUGCCAAGCUUACCACCUGCUUGCUUUGGCUUAUACAAACUGACACAAACAGCACUCUUUUUUUGCUGAAAUCCACAAACCAUUUUGCCUCAAUGACUUUUAUUUGAAUAUUCUGCCUGUAUGAAAUAUAAUUUAUAUUAGGAGUUAAAGAUGAUAUUUGACCUGCACUUGUGAAGUUCAUUUUGAUGUCUUUGCUUGACUUACAUCUCUCUUUCACCCCCCUCUCCUUCCAGUAACACAUGUUCACAUGUCUUCACGCCUAUGGUAGGAUGGCCAAGGACACCGACUUGGACUGCAGGGCAAGUUGUGUGUCUGUGGUGUGUAUGUGGAUGUUGUGUUUAUGUAUGCAUUUGAAUGAGCUUUCUUUAGCCCCAAGAAUCAUAGGUCCAAGUCUGUAAUCCUCCCUCUCAUCCUUUCUGUGCCUUUCUUCCCUCCCUAGGGAAAAGCCCCCAUGCGAAAGGGAAGAAAUGGGGUGUAAAGGGCACCGAGUUCCCAUUGGAUCCAUGCCCCAUCUGUGCCUAGACUGUGCCACUCUGCUUUGGAAAUUGCAGCAGCUUUGAAGCGUUUGUAAUGUUUCCCUUCUUCUCUUGCUCUCUGCACAUUCAGUGGGUAGAGCAAAAAAAAUCUGAUAUGGCUGUGUAAUUAAGUUGCCAUUAAUUGUUUUGCCUGGUCCCGGGUGGCACUGCUCAGACUUUGGGGGAAGAGAACAGCUGAUUUAUAGAGCUGAUGGGCUGCACGCCUAACUGAACAACUAAACACAGUGAAAGUGAUUCUUAAUUACUGCCUGUUGCCUCUAAUUUACCCAAAGUCACCUCUGCCAGAAGGCUAACUAGCCCCCGCUGUCUCGCACACAGACUUUGAAUCAUGUCAAAACACCUUUACUCAUUGCCUUUACCCUCCAACAUUUAUUUCUGGCUUGUUUUAAAAACCUAGAACCUCGGAGAUGUUGUUUGAUCCUGCAAUAUUUGUCUUGUUUGUUUUUCGUUCUGUUUUCCAUGAGCGCUGUGCUGAGUCUAAAUGUGGAAUCUCAGGUGGUUUCUCCGCUGUGGCGGUGAUUGAAUCAAUUCUAUUUAUACGCUCUACAUUUUAUGACAUGUAAAUGUUCACUGGCCUGAAUGAAAUACACUUUCCAGCUUCAACCGCCAGCCGAGCCCAAUGUAAAUACUGAAGAUAUCAACGGAAAACAGACCAUGGAAAACAUGUCCUGGAGGGCAGUGGCACUAACCCCCCCCAAUCAGAGCAGCACUUACACCCUUCUAUGGCUUCACACACACGUGUUUAUACUAUGAUGGCAUACCAUACUCACUCUCCUCCACUCCCACACCCUCAUAUUGCACUGGGUGGGACCAUGUCCUGACAAAGUGUAGCCUCAAUGGGCACUUGAGGUGAAUUAUUGUUUGUGAGUGGAAACUUGGCCAGAUAAUCUCGGUGCUGCUGGCUCAGGGCUGAGUAAGACCACUGUCUCCUACCCUUUUACGCACACACAAACACGCCCUUUUGCGCACACGCAGCUUUUGUUUCACCGUCUAUUUCCAGUUCACGCUUAUUUGCUGACUCUUUGACUUUUUUUCAAUGACUCCUUGUCUGUUCUGGCUGUGCUUUUGCUCCAUCUUUCUCUUCCCUUUUUUGCUACUUCUUUUUCCCAACAACCCCGGCCUUUAUCCUGGAGGCCAUUCACCUCUCCGUGGCUGCCCUUGCCAGUGCCUGCAGUAAAUUCCAGGAGAAGUUGGAAACACAAACACGCACAAGCCCAGGACGAGAAGCCCAGUCAUGUUAGACCCCUCCUUACCGCCACCGCUCCGCUCUCUCACAAGGGGUCUUUGUGUGAGUCUCUUUCACAGGGUCACUUUAGAUCCUCUCUUACCUGCAUCAUAGGUGUAAUUCAUGCGUCUGUGUUGGCUUGUUUUGCCGCCAGUAGGAGUGUGAGUGUUAAUCAUAUAAUUGUAGAGUUCUCAAGCAGACAUAAACUAAUGUUUGGACUCUUGUGGACUUCAGGAUUACAGUAAUUGUGGCCUGCUAAUGACGUGCUAGAUUAGAAAGGUUUGUUGAUGCAGCUUACUGUCCUGCAUGAAUAACAUGUUUAAACAGUUUAAAGUAAAUGCUGUCUUCUCUGAAUUCAGACAUAAAGAAUCUUUACAACGGACAAAAUAUUGCAAUGUGAAAUAUAUAGUCUUCAUGCUUUGUAUCUUACUCAGUAAAAGGCGUCGUUUAGAUCUUGCUUUUAGCUGGUUUUAUUUCCCUCUGUCACUUUGAUCCAUAUUUAUCGUUCAUAUCUCUCACAAUCUCUGCUCUCUUCCCAUGUUGCACCUGCAUCUUCACCUUUUUUUUCUUUAUUUUAUUGUUGGGUUUUUUUGUAAGAAAAAAAUGGACUGUACAUUAGCAUUUGAAUAACUAAUGACAUGAAUCAAAAGUAUUUUAGUUAAUGGUUCAGUUUCUUUUUGAUCAUGCUAACAAAUAAUCAUUACUAAUCACUAAUGUCCGAUUGAGUUCCACUAAUUCAACACAAUACAAAAUUAUAUGCAACAAUAUAAUACUGUUCAAGACCAAUAUGAUUUAAGACCAAUACAAUUAGAUGGGAUGCAAUGCUGUUCAUUAUGGUAUUAUACUAUGAUACAACACAAUGUUAUACAAUGCAAUAAGGACUGAUACAAGACCACUAUGGUAUGAUAUGAUACAUAAUGGUGUAAUAGAAAAUAAUAGUAUGAUACAAUAUGAAACCAAUGUGAUAUGAGACCUUUAUAAUAUGAUAAGAUGUGAUGCAAUGUGAGUUAUGGUAUGAUACAAAACAACACAAUGUGAUACAAUCAACACAAUAGAAUUUGAUACGAUAUGGUAUGAUGUGAUGGACCUUAUUGCCCUGUAGGGAAAUUUGUUCCAGACUCUUGUACUUCUGUGUGAGUAUUUAAAUCAAAAAGAAACAAACAGUAAUAUUUGUUUUGCAUUGAUAUUACUACUGUUGUAGGCCAUGUGAUUUACCAAGCUAAUCCCAGAGCUGUAUUUGGUGCUGUGUGAUAUCAUAUUGUCCUGAAAAUUACCUUGCGAUGACAUGAUGAAAUGAUACAAUUUGACACUAUAAAAUGAUUUGAUUCAGUUCACUGUAUUUUACUAGUAAGGACAAUUUUUUGGGACGUAUGCUGCAGGCAAAUACCAGCUCCCACUAUAGUUUUAUACCAGAUAAUAAACCUAAGAAAUAAUACACCACUGCAAAUUUAAACAGAAGCAACUACCAGUCACAAUGGAAAAACAUAUAUUUCACAUGACCCAUGACCAUGGUCUGUAUGAUAAACAAUAUAAAGAAGUGAAAGAGA
rnacentral:lncRNA from 1 species